UGAGGAAUAUUGGUCAAUGGGCGAGAGCCUGAACCAGCCAAGUAGCGUGCAGGAUGACGGCCCUAUGGGUUGUAAACUGCUUUUAUAUGGGGAUAAAGUGGGGAACGUGUUCCCUUUUGCAGGUACCAUAUGAAUAAGGACCGGCUAAUUCCGUGCCAGCAGCCGCGGUAAUACGGAAGGUUCGGGCGUUAUCCGGAUUUAUUGGGUUUAAAGGGAGCGUAGGCCGUUUGGUAAGCGUGUUGUGAAAUGUAGGAGCUCAACUUCUAGAUUGCAGCGCGAACUGUCAGACUUGAGUGCGCACAACGUAGGCGGAAUUCAUGGUGUAGCGGUGAAAUGCGUAGAUAAUAAAAAGAAUACCGGUGGCGAAGGCGACUUACUGGGCUCAUUCUGACGCUGAGGAACGAAAGCGUGGGUAGCAAACAGG
rnacentral:rRNA from 1 species